rnacentral:sRNA from 1 species
AUCUCUAGAGACUUCACUUCAGCUUCACUGACUUCUGGAUUCUCCUCUUGAGUAAAAGGACUCAGCCAACUAUGAAGUUUUUUAUUUUUGCUUUAAUCUUGGCUCUCGUGAUUUCCAUGACUGUAAGUAUAUCUGGAAAUUUUAAAGGAUACAUUCUCAGUACUUAUCCCAAGGAUCUUUCUUAUUCCUUAUGUUCUGCCAUAUGUUUCAUGUUCACCUCAAUACAGCUUUAAUAUUUCUAUGUAAAGAUUUUCCUUGAAUUAACCUAUAUAAGUUCUUUAAGGACUUAGAAUAAAUAUUCAUUACAUACCUGCAAACACUCAAGUACAAUUACUUGAAUAUAAAAACAAAAGGAAAGUAAGCAAGCUUCAUAAAUAUGUGGGACUGAGAACUGUGAAAAUAUCUUUAAAUAUGAAAAGCUCUAGACCACCUGAAGUUAGAAAUCUGAGGAAAGAACAAGGUACACUUCAAUGGAAGCUAAGUAUUACAGGGUGUCAAAAUAUGAAUUUUCAAGUCAUUUCUUGCACAACCGAACUGUUCAAGUUAGCAUACAAUUUAUUUUACUCUUUCUAAAAUAAAGCUGCUUAUUUUAAGCCAUAAAACAAAUCUAUAUCUAUUAAGUGCCAUGAGUUCCCAGUUUGUAUCGUCAUUUACUACUGUGUAUUAGUAGGAAAAGCACUUGACUUCUCUGGAUCUCUUUCUCCUUCUCUACUUCCUCAUCCUCUUCCCACUCCUCCUCA